rnacentral:rRNA from 1 species
UCGAGAAUCAUUCGCAAUGGGCGCAAGCCUGACGAUGCGACGCCGUGUGGACGAUGAAGGCCUUCGGGUUGUAAAGUCCUUUCGCUUGGGAACAAGAGAGGUCGGCAAAUAACCGGCCAAUUUGAGGGUACCAGGUAAAGAAGCACCGGCUAACUCCGUGCCAGCAGCUGCGGUAAUACGGAGGGUGCAAGCAUUAAUCGGAUUUAUUGGGCGUAAAGGGCGCGUAGGCGGAUAAGAAAGUCAGAUGUGAAAUUUCAGGGCUCACCCCUGAAACUGCAUUUGAAACUUCUCAUCUAGAGGAUAGGCGGAGAAAACGGAAUUCCACGUGUAGCGGUGAAAUGCGUAGAUAUGUGGAAGAACACCGGUGGCGAAGGCGGUUUUCUAGCUUAUUCCUGACGCUGAGGCGCGAAAGCAAGGGGAGCAAACAGGAUUAGAUACCCCCGUAGUCC